rnacentral:misc_RNA from 1 species
AUUUUAGCUUAUUUGUUAACUUUAAUUACUUUAUAUUUAAUUUUUGUAAUUUUAUUAUUUUUAAUAGGUUUUUGUGACAAAUUGAGGGUCAAUGAGUGCAUUAGAAAGUGAUUUGAAGAAAUUUGGAGCUCCUUGAGUAUGGAAGAAAGUUAAAGAAAUCAAGCCUUGAAAGAUCAAGUUAAUCGAAAUUUGCUUGAGACUUUGCU